rnacentral:lncRNA from 1 species
AGUUUAUUCUUUGCAAAUCGUUCCUGGGACUUCACAAGGACUCUUGGUUGGUACGGUGACUAUUAUUGACUAACUCAAUAUUUUUCCCAACUUCGCAAGUGAGAUUUUUCCCUGGGACAAAUCCCAUGAAAUGUCCCGUGGAGACCAGGCCUCCCUCUCAAGAAUCCCUACGUCUUUUCCGCUGCGGGAGGAAAAAAAUCGCCUUUGAACUCUGAGGAUAAAGCACACCUGUUGUAUCCGAAAGCGGCGUUGCGCCGGGGUCCGUGGCCGUCCCAGAUCCAGGGGGGUUGACCGGAGCCCCGCCGCCGCCGCCGGUCGAGCCUCCGUAUCGACGCGGGCCCGAGCCCCGAACCCGGGACCCGGAGAUCCACGACCCGGACCGACUCCCAGCGCGCCCCGCGACGGGGCCGGGGCCGGGGCGCUGCGAUGGGGCGACGGGGCGCCCGGGUGCGUGGCUUCCGCGCAAGCGACGAAUUCGGAGGAGCGGGCGUGAGACGGCUCGCACGGCUCAGUCAGAGCAGUGAAACCGUCCCAACUCGUCCUCCCACCACCGAUCGACUCCUUAUCGGCCGACUCCCUCUCCCGACUCGACCCGACUUCAGCCCCGAUCUCAUUAGUCCCCCGCCUUUGCUUUAUUGUGUGCGAGUAAUGUAUUUAUUGCCGCGGUCCCCCACCCCGCACCGCCCCCGCCGCGUUAUCACUUGUUGUACACGGACCGGCAGGAUUUUAACGCCUAUCUUGUCGUCGCACCGGUGCGUGGUUCAUUUUUAUCUGCACUCCUUUAUUGCAGUACUUAAAUGAGAGCCCGUCGGAAGAAUGCUUGGAUUCACCUCGGCUGGUGGAGCUUUGGAUCGAAGCUUAGAGACGGAGACGACGCGUCGUCCUUAAAAAAUGACUGAAGUCGAUCGAAGAAAACAUAGUUCCCGCCGAGGAUAAGUUUCGGAACAGCAGUAAAAAGUUGCUCAGCCAUCUGGUGGAUUAUUAUUGCUCCCUUUCCGCCCUGACGCUCUCAGUCCUGAUAAACACUGCCUAUUUAUCUUCCCCGAGUGCGGACUUUGGUAUUCAGUUCCGGUUCAGCACACUCCCUCAGGUGGUAGAUUUGGUUUUCAUAUUACGAGGCAUUCAAUCAGUAUUGGUCAAAUUUGAAAAUCGAUGAUAUUUGCGUGAAAAGUGCCCAUCCUGAAUGACUCUUCCUUUAAAUUUUAAACCUCUGUCAAUUUUUUAGUUUUUAGAGGCGGACAUUUGCAUCGUAUUCUGAUAAUUCAAAUAAUUUAUGAAGAAUAGAAAAUGAUACUAUGUAAUAAUUGUUGAAACAGUACAGUUUCCUUAUUUUGAAAAUAAAAUAAGAAAUGUAUGGAUGAUAAACUGAGCCUCCUAUGAACUUGCACCCAAUCUUUGAAAUCCAACGUUAAAAAAACGCUCUAUGUCGUCGCCAAAUUUGGUGUUUGAUAAAUGUAUACAUAUGAUGGUUAGUGGUUGAUGACGAAAACUUCCUAUAACCGAAAAGAGCCGAAAUUUAUUAGGGAUAAAAAAUUAUCUUAAAAUAACAGGUCAUUUUUUUUAGGAAUUCAUGUGGAAACACAACAUUUUAGAAUUUCGCUUCUUUUCGCUACAUCACUUCACACAUACUCGGUAGUCCGACCUGCCUUAACUGUGUAAAAGUGGACAAAAUAUUAAAUAAUCGAUACUUUUCCCGAACUUUAGAAGAAAAUUUUGGGUCCUCUAAGAAAAUUUCGAGGAAACUCCAAAGCAAGGCCUGAGUUUUUGUCAUCGAAUUUUUCUGCGGAAAUCAGGAAAAAAUAGGGUAUUAUUAGGGGAUGAAAAAAGUAAAACAUUCUAUUGACACCCUACUUUCCUCAGACCUCCUUUGACUCAAAAAAUAUUUGUGCGCGUUUUAAACGACUUGUUUUUAACGAAAAGCUGUAAGUUUCGCACAUGACAGUCUUCGCGCAACAUGAAACCAUUAACAUCUCAGUUUCGAUAAAACUGACGCUCGCGAUACCGUGACGACGUACAAUUAUUGUGGUGGCUUAAAACUGGAAAAAAGAACGAAUGAAAAGAAGUACAAAACUAGGGUAAACCCAGGACGAGAAGAUAAUAAUGCUCCCGCGCGAUUGAGGCGCGGAAUAAAGCCUCGCCGGAGAAAACUGCAAGCUUUGACAGUUUCUGCACUGAAGGCGCUCAGUUGCCAGAUUCCGCCGGAAAGAAACUCAUGCACUAUUUAUGGAAAGUAUUCGUAUUUUAUCAUACAAUCCGGCAACUGUGAAGGAGAAGUGGCGUGGAAAUACGGAUGGAACUGGAUUCUGGCGGUGGAACGGGGCGAAGGGAGGGGAGGCGGAAAAGUUGGAGAUGUGCGGUGCGGCGCGGCGCUGGGAAACUGCGCGCGACUGAGAAAAUUCGCGCUGACAAUUAACGAUUUAAGAUUUUCAGGCAAUUAAAUCCAAUUAUUCAUCCGAGCCCGACCCGGUUUACGAGUGGAUGCGUAGCGCGAGACAGUCGGGACCGCGACCUGCUCAAUCGACUUCCGCGGGCUGCGUCGCACAACGCUCCGAGUAACGUUUUUCCAGGCUCGUCGUAUCUGUAAAAUUAGGCCGUGGAAAUCUCUUUGGUCGUUACUAAAAUCAUUUCAAUUGUUGUAUUUUUAACGCGGUGCUAAUCUUACAGGGUGUCAGGGUGUCUACUAUUAGGAAAAACUGGAAAAUAUAUGGAAUUUCGAUGUUAUUAGGAAAAAUUAGGAAAAUCGAUCAUGGUUCCGGAAAUUCUGAGUGCUCUAUGCAGUUUUCAAGAAUUUUUCCGACUUUGGAUUCAUUUAAUAUAUUUAUUGAAUGUGCUGAUUUUUUAAAUCAAACAAGCAUCAAUCUAGUCGCGCAUAAACUCAGGAAUUCUCGUUUAAAAUAGCAGGAAAAAUCAUGAAAAGCCAUUAAUAAAUUUUAGUAGACACCUUGUUUUCGUAACAAAUUGCUGAGUGAAAUUAAGAGUGUCUGAUUAUUGAAUUUGAUAGACAAAGCAACAGACAAGGAAGACAAAAUGAAGAUGGAGCGAUUUUACUGGGCGAAAUA